UUAUUUUAUUUUUUUUUAAUAUUUAUUUUUUAGUUCUCGGCGGAUACAACAUCUUUGUUUGUAUGUGGUGCUGAGGAUCGAACCCGGGCCGCACGCAUGCCAGGCGAGCGCGCUACCGCUUGAGCCACAUCCCCAGCCCCAACGGACUCUUGCAUAGUGACAUCCUUCAGGACAAACAGCCCACAACUUGGGGCAGCUCCUGUAGAGGCUACCCAGAGCCAGGCCCCGGCAGGAAGGGAGACAAGGACCCUGUGAGGAACUGGGGCAGGGGCUUGGCAUGGAAGUCUCGGACCCUCUCCAUUAAAGCUGCUCAGGGACCAGAGCCACUCUUCGGAGCUUACGCAGCCCCGGCCACCAGACUGCAGAGGGCGGCUCCCAGUGCGGGAGGGGGAGCCACUCCGAACCGGAAUGAUCUGGUUUAGGGCGGGCUGGCUCUCCCUCCUCCUCUUUGCCGCCCACCCCUUCUCCCGCGACAGGCUGAUUUCUGCCGCAGUCCCUGACCAAGAUUUAGCGUCGGGUUCUUCCCCUUGAGAGAAAGGUGGCUUCAAGAAGAGCAGUGGCACGUCCUAGAUUCAGGCUUGGGGGAAGAAUGAGGUGAACUUUCUUGUUUCAUCUACCAAGGGGCUGCUUGGCUUUGAAGACAUGCUGUCCCUCUCCCAGAUUCUGCUCUCUGAAGUCUCAUGUUCUCGCACAACCUGCCUGCCCCUGGAGGAAAGCGUGCCCAUCUGACACCUCGCCCGCCUGCCCCUGGCUCCCUGUGGCACAUUCAUCUGUCCUUGUCGCUCUUCUGCUCUAUAUUAACCCCAGGGCCUAGUCCGUCCCCUCCUCCUCCUGCCUUCCCCAGGAUGAAGGUCUGUUGCCUGCCCCCAGCUCCAUCCCAGUGAGCCUGCACCCAGGCUAGGUCCAGCCAGGAAGGCCUCCUGCAGCCUCUCCAGCCAUCUUGGGGUAGACUCUGAGUGGUUCAAAGGGAGCUAGAAUCAGCACCGUGAUCAACUCUCCUUCCUCAGCCACCAUGAGGUCGUCCCAUCACUUCCACUCAAGGGAGGCAAGGACUGGGCAGCCUCUUGUCUCUUUGACCAGAAGCUGAAAGAACAGUCUGACCCAAGGAGGCAAUGGGAGGUCCCAGGAGUGUCAGACCAGACUGGUGACCCGGCACCAGAGAGCCAGCAUGAUGGGAAAGGAGAGGAGAAAAGAGUACAGCAGCCUGGUUCCUCAGAUGCCAGGACCAAGCAGGGCGGGGGCACUCCAGGCCUUCUGUGGGCUUUCAGGCCUUUUGUAAAACGACAGUCCAACUGCUUGAUCUCUAAAACCACUUCUAAGUUUUCCUGAGCCAUGACAAGAAGAAAAAGCAUCUUAACUAAAAGCUGAAGCAGCCAGAAAAGCCAACACUACCUGCUUGUGAUACUCCUGCCUCAGCCUUCUGAACUACUGGGACUGCAGGUGUUUGCCACUGUGCCCAGAUGGGUUGUAAUUUUGACCUAUAACAUAGCA